rnacentral:ncRNA from 1 species
UGGUUCACCACAGGUGAUUAAAUGGGAACAGAGUGAAAGUCUCUGACAGUCCCGCUGCUGUGAAUGGCCUUUAUAAGGUUGGAACAAAUAAUGUCACUGACAGACAACGUUCGGGAAGACGUUCCAACAUGGCUAAAGUCAGAAGACCUGCCGUCACAUGA